UACGGAGGGUGCAAGCGUUGUCCGGAAUCACUGGGCGUAAAGGGCGCGUAGGCGGCUCAUGAAGCUGUGGUGAAAGUCCGGGGCUCAACCUCGGAUCGGCCGUGGCGACUCGUGGGCUGGAGCACUGUAGAGGCGGGUGGAAUUCCGGGUGUAGCGGUGGAAUGCGUAGAGAUCCGGAAGAACACCAGUGGCGAAGGCGGCCCGCUGGGCAGUGGCUGACGCUGAGGCGCGACAGCGUGGGGAGCAAACAGG
rnacentral:rRNA from 1 species